GACAUGCUGAGAACUUUCCAGAGAUGGGAUUGGUGCCUUUCGGGAACUCAGACACAGGUGCUGCAUGGCUGUCGUCAGCUCGUGUCGUGAGAUUGUUGGGUUAAGUCCCGUAACGAGCGCAACCCUUGUCCUUAGUUACCAGCACGUAAUGGUGGGCACUCUAAGGAGACUGCCGGUGACAAACCGGAGGAAGGUGGGGAUGACGUCAAGUCAUCAUGGCCCUUACGGCCAGGGCUACACACGUGCUACAAUGGUCGGUACAAAGGGUUGCCAAGCCGCGAGGUGGAGCUAAUCCCAUAAAACCGAUCGUAGUCCGGAUCGCAGUCUGCAACUCGACUGCGUGAAGUCGGAAUCGCUAGUAAUCGUGAAUCAGAAUGUCACGGUGAAUACGUUCCCGGGCCUUGUACACACCGCCCGUCACACCAUGGGAGUGGGUUGCUCCAGAAGUAGCUAGUCUAACCUUCGGGGGGGACGGUUACCACGGAGUGAUUCAUGACUGGGGUGAAGUCGUAACAAGGUAAGCGUAGAUGA
rnacentral:rRNA from 1 species